rnacentral:lncRNA from 1 species
UGUUUUUUGUGUUUCUCUUUGUGUUGGUGCCAAGUAAAACCUUUAUGAUUAGUUUUGGUGAUGGUUGUUCGAUCUUGCUGAAAAAGACAGAAACUUUGCGCUCACAAAAUUAUUUUUAAUUCCUAUCCAAAAAGAGAUUUUGAGUUGAUUAUUUUUUCUACUGGUUUAUAGGCCAAUUUACCUAAUUUUCAUAAUUUUUUAGAAUUUUUGAGAUACCAGAAGUAUACGAAGUAUAAAGAUUGC